UACGUAGGGUGCUAGCGUUAAUCGGAAUUACUGGGCGUAAAGGGUGCGCAGGCGGCGUUGUAAGUCAGGCGUGAAAUCCCCGGGCUUAACCUGGGAACUGCACUUGAAACUACGAUGCUGGAGUAUGGCAGAGGGAGGUGGAAUUCCACGUGUAGCGGUGAAAUGCGUAGAGAUGUGGAGGAACACCGAUGGCGAAGGCAGCCUCCUGGGCCAAUACUGACGCUCAUGCACGAAAGCGUGGGGAGCAAACAGG
rnacentral:rRNA from 1 species